UACGUAGGGCGCAAGCGUUAGGCGGAAUCACUGGGCUUAAAGCGUGUGUAGGCGGACGCCUAAGUGUCUUGUGAAAUCCCACGGCUCACCCGUGGAACUGCUGGGCAUACUGGGCGUCUUGGGCCAACUAGGGGCAGCCGGAACAAGCGGUGGAGCGGUGAAAUGCGUAGAUAUCGCUUGGAACGCCGAAGGUGAAAACAGGCUGCUGGGGUUGCGCCGACGCUGAGACACGAAAGCCAGGGGAGCAAACGGG
rnacentral:rRNA from 1 species